UCUCUCGUUCCUCUCUUUUCCUCCUUUUAAAAUAUCUUUUAGGAUUUAUUUAAAGUAAAAAAAUCUAUAUCUUAGGAAUUCCGUACCAAUAAAAAUUCAUCUUCCUCCUCUCUUUUUUUUUUUUUUUUUUGUAAUUAUUCUCCUCUCUUUCAAUAUCAGAGACAAGACAGGCUAGAUUUUGAGUAGAGUAUAGAUGCCUCCAUUGGUUAUUUCAAUGGAGUCUUCAUUAACAGUCAUUCCCUUGCUCAUCAAGCCCUCAUCCAGAAUGGAGUCAUCUUUGCCUCCAUUGGUUAUUUCAGUGGACUCCAUUGGUUUGAGAAGGUUGGUUACACUUAACUGGGUCUUUCCUCUUAAGUAUUUCAAUGUUUGCUAUUGCAUUCCCCUGAAACGGUGAAUUUUGAGGGAAGCAACCGCGACAAACAGCUUUUAAAAACGAUCAUUUAAGCAGGAGUUUCGAAAAUGAACUUUGUUUCUUGGAGUGGGCUUUUGCGAGUGCGAAGUAGGUGAUUCAAGUUUUAGAAGCGAGAAUAACGAGGCGCUUCGGCUAUGUAAGGAGCGGAAGAGAUUUAUCAAACAAGCAAUCGAUUCAAGAUCACCAAAUAAUCAUUUUAAGAGCUGUGAAGAGAUUACUUUGACAGGAUAUUAGAAUGGAUAUACCUCCUCCUACAAAGAUUCUAGGAAUUAGUCCAAUGGAAGAAGAGUAUGUUUCUUCUAUAUCCUGUGUUUCUUCAUCCUAUGAUUGCACUUUUGAAUUUAUAGGAAUAAAAAAUGCAAGACAGAAAUAACAUGAUAUCUUUUUUAUGUAAUGUCCCUCGUUCAGCUCCAACAGACAAAGGUGUGAGUGUUUCAAAUCUUGGUCCAAUAGAUCAAACAGAAGCAUCCAGUCAGAGGGAUGUUGAAGUGCCUACCUCCCAAGGCCUUCCUAAAAUUGAAGUUAUUAGUGAUGUUGUUCAUAACUUUGGGUCAAAAUACUUUUCAGAGCUGCUAGACCUCAGAAUGAUACUUUUGAAGAAAACAUACAAUUAAACUAGAACAUGAGUGGGAAAAAGACACUCUCUAGAUGGUUACAGGGUUAACUCCUCUCUUAUGCCUUCUUCCAUUUUUUUUGUAAUCCUUUUAUUGCAGCCUUUAUUUUUUGGAAGUGUUUCUCUACAACUUUUAUAAGGCGUAGCAAGCUUUUUAUUGCCUCUCUUGACUCCUUGUACGCCAUGUCUCAAGAAAUUUUUAAUUUUUCUGCAAGGUAAGGGGUUUGUAAGAAAAAAAAAUUACACAUUGGAAUUAUAAAUUUCUCGAUAAUGUGUUAAAUUUGUUUUUAUCAACUUAUAUCAAGUCUAAAUGUUAGAUUGUUUUUAAUUUCUGAUUAUUUUUUAUUUCUUCAGUGUUAUAAUGGGUGAAGAAAGAAGUUGACCCAAUUCCAUGGCAAUUAGAGAGUCAUGGCUAUUGGAUCGGACUUCCAAGGCUCCCUACCCUGUUAUUGGGACCUUCGAGCAAUAUAGUCUUGGUCCUUAUCACUGAUUGAGAGUUCGAAGAGUCGAUAGUUUCAAUUGCAAUAGAGCUUUUUCUUUUCAUCUUAUGCAAUGUAAGUGAUAUCAUGUCGUUUACCAAAGUGCUUCCAUAGAUUUACACUUCUGUGAGUAUCUAAAUCUGAAAUCGGUGAAAAAUAUGAAUUAUUUCUUUCAAAUCCCUUUGUCAUUGUUUCUGAUAAAUAGAAAAUUUUCUAAUUCCCCUUCUCUCUCUCGCAAUUCUCUUCUUAGUUCACUUCACUACCACACUAACUCGACUUGUCUUGGACCGAAUCCAAUUUCUAAUAUUUGAGAGCAACAAUGUUGGCACAACUCUAGCACUGAGCAACAACGAAUAACCCACUCUUGAAACGAUGAUUGGAAGUCAGACUUCUCUGCAACUUUGUCGACACUGUGAAAGAUGUCAGAAAUAUGAAAUAUUUUGAGAAUUCUUUGUCAUUAUCAAUAUUUAAGUUGAAGAUACUAUGGAAUUUCUCAAUUCGUAGGAUAGACUAUUACUUUUUUUUUU